CGCCGCCACUCAUGGCGAUGCAAUACCAAUCCUGAUUUUUUGAAUAAAAAAGAAACAAAGUUCAAUUAUCGUUGAAAGCAAGGAUGGCGACGGAUUGCUGCUGAUCCGGACCGAGUGAACCACGAAAAAGGAAGUCAGGAGUGGCAAAGGUAGCAUGGCAUAAGCUGCGAAUAUGAUGAAAAGGAUGUACCAGACCAUAUGCGUCGUGAGUUCGGAGCUUUGGAUUC